ACGGAAGGCAGCAGUGAGGAAUAUUGGUCAAUGGACGCAAGUCUGAACCAGCCAUGCCGCGUGCAGGAAUAAGGCCCUAUGGGUCGUAGACUGCUUUUGUGGUGGAGCAAUAAGUCGUACGUGUACGGCGAUGAGAGUACAUCACGAAUAAGCAUCGGCUAACUCCGUGCCAGCAGCCGCGGUAAUACGGAGGAUGCAAGCGUUAUCCGGAUUUAUUGGGUUUAAAGGGUGCGUAGGCUGUGGUCCAAGUCAGGGGUGAAAGCCCGGAGCUCAACUCCGGAACUGCCUUUGAUACUGGAUUGCUGGAAUACGGAUGCCGUGGGAGGAAUGAGUAGUGUAGCGGUGAAAUGCAUAGAUAUUACUCAGAACACCGAUUGCGAAGGCAUCUCACGAAUCCGUCAUUGACGCUGAGGCACGAAAGCGUGGGGAUCAAACAGGAUUAGAUACCCUGGUA
rnacentral:rRNA from 1 species